ACUAGAGCUAUAAGCUCUCUGAAGGGCCGUUGGAGACUACAACGUUGAUAGGCUGGGUGUGGAAGCAUGGUGACAUGUUAAGCUAACCAGUACUAAUUACCCGUGAGGCUUAACCAUACAACGCCAAAGUGGUUUAAG
rnacentral:rRNA from 1 species